rnacentral:lncRNA from 1 species
CAAUGGUGUCCGUAUGACUUGCACUGUAAUACACUUACUUUUCCUAUCACUUCAACCCUCGCAAAGUCUUUUGGAACCAAGAAAACUGUAGAGAUGAAAAAUCUUGGUAUGAGGAUGACUUGAUAUGGAGGCACUGAGGCUCAGAGAGGUUACAUAACUUGCUCAGGAUUUAUGGCUGCUUAUACGUGGGACGCCUACCACAGCAUGGCUGUGUGGGACGCCUACCACAGCAUGGCUGCCAAGCAAUGCCAUGUCCGCACCCGGGAUCCGAACCAGCGAACCCCGGGCCGCCGAGAAGCGGAACGUGUGAACUUAACCGCUGCGCCACCGGGCCGGCCUCUCCAACAUCUCUUCUUAAAGAGAAAUGCUCCUUUUCAAAGAGGAAUUUGAAGACGAUGGGUUAGUUCCUGAUCAAUUAAGUGGAGUCAUAUAGACAGAUUAUAGAACAUCGGCACCCCAAACUGCCUUAUCAUCAUCGUCAUCCUCAUCCUCAUCAUCAUCAUUACUACCAUCAUCAUCAUCAUCUUCAAGCCUUCAACAAAACCGAUUCCCCGACAUAGCGGCUAGGAGCCUGCCCCCAGCCUCCUUGGGGUAUACCAGGUGUGCAGGACCAGCGUGGCCAGAGCAAUCGUCUUAAUUAAUCAAAGCCCAGGAGCAGAGAUGAAGACAUCUUGCUUGGCAGUAGAGUUUGUGUCUGGGGAGGAAAGUGGCCAGAUUACCUGCAGAGAGAAAGCCACCUAAGAUGGAGGACUUUGGACGGUGGAGGGGAUGCUGAUGAAUACCCUCCUUCCCAACGACUCCUGGGUCAGCAACAGAACAAGGCAGAGUCUUAGUCUCUCCUGGAACAGGUCCUCCUGAGUGCCACAGAACACGCUCAACGUGACAGCCUCAACAAAAUGAGUUGUUGCGUGGAAAAGCAUCUUUCAGCCCAGAAAAACCAUGGAUUUGGGAGGAAAUACUCUGAGGAGAAAGAACUGGGUCCUGGUUCCCAGGACAGUUUUCAAGUUGCUUUGAAAGGGUGUGAUGGUUUUAAUGCCCUUAAUAGGGGCGUAAGCACCAUGUAAAGAAGUUCAUCAGCAAAGAGAAGCCUAGCAAGUUUCCUGGCUCUGGAAGGGGUGGAGGUCAAGACAGCAAAGAGGUGGAAGGGGUCUUAGGAGUUUUUUGUAAGGGUCUGGAAUUUAACUUAAGUCAUUAGCUAUUGGGCAUUAAAAAGGGGCUUUAUUUUUGCAACAGGAUUUAUGGCCUUUUAUAUGUUUAUUUUUCCUUCACUAUUAGACAUCCAAGG